rnacentral:rRNA from 1 species
GAUGAACGCUGGCGGCGUGCCUAAUACAUGCAAGUCGAGCGAACAGACGAGGAGCUUGCUCCUCUGACGUUAGCGGCGGACGGGUGAGUAACACGUGGAUAACCUACCUAUAAUACUGGGAUAACUUCGGGAAACCGGAGCUAAUACCGGAUAAUAUAUUCAACCGCAUGGUUCAAUAGUGAAAGACGGCUUUGCUGUCACUUAUAGAUGGAUCCGCGCCGCAUUAGCUAGUUGGUAAGGUAACGGCUUACCAAGGCAACGAUGCGUAGCCGACCUGAGAGGGUGAUCGGCCACACUGGAACUGAGACACGGUCCAGACUCCUACGGGAGGCAGCAGUAGGGAAUCUUCCGCAAAGGGCGAAAGCCUGACGGAGCAACGCCGCGUGAGUGAUGAAGGUCUUCGGAUCGUAAAACUCUGUUAUUGGGGAAGAACAAAUGUGUAAGUAACUAUGCACGUCUUGACGGUACCUAAUCAGAAAGCCACGGCUAACUACGUG